rnacentral:rRNA from 1 species
UACAGAGGUCCCAAGCGUUGUUCGGAAUCACUGGGCGUAAAGCGCACGUAGGCGGAUUGUUAAGUCAGGGGUGAAAUCCUGGAGCUCAACUCCAGAACUGCCUUUGAUACUGGCGAUCUCGAGUCCGGGAGAGGUGAGUGGAACUGCGAGUGUAGAGGUGAAAUUCGUAGAUAUUCGCAAGAACACCAGUGGCGAAGGCGGCUCACUGGCCCGGUACUGACGCUGAGGUGCGAAAGCGUGGGGAGCAAACAGG